AAUCCUAAGAGACGGGGGAAGCCUGUCCCAUAACGCGUCCAGCGCGAGCUUCGAAAGGGAAUCGAGUUAAAAUUCUUGAACUGGGACGCGACAGCUAACGGCAACAUUAGGGAGUCUAGAGACGUCGGUGGGGACCUCGGGAAGAGUUAUCUUUUUUGUUUAACGGCUUGCCCACCCUGGAAACGGCUCAGCCGGAGGUAGAGUCUAGCGGUCGGAAGAGGUAGGGUCCAGCGGCCGGAAGAGCACCGCACGUCGCGUGGUGUCUGGUGCGCCAUCAAAUUGUAGAAUGUCAGCAUCGAUGAGACCUUGAACCUUUUUUUAAAGGUAAGAUGAUUUUCUCUAGAAUGCCACUGAUU
rnacentral:ncRNA from 1 species